AAAGAAAAGCUUCUUUUCAUAUUAACACACUGACCUCCUCGUCUAUUGUUUUGCUUGCUAAUUUCUAUCUUUUUUCUUUGUAGCUGAAAAUUUAGAUACUAUAAUAGCCUCUUAAUCUCUAUAAAAAAAAUAGUUAGACUAUUUUCAAGUUGAAGGAGUUGGGCUCUACCCUUUCAAAUGUGGUUCUAAGAGAAAUACCAUUUGAAAUAGUUGAAGAAGGAACAAUAUGACAAUCAUCAAAAUUUCACUAUCGGUCAUUAGGAGGAGAGAGAAAAGAAGAUAAAGAGACCAGAGAAGAGGAGGAUGGGGGCAACGGUAGCCAAGGGGAUAGGGAUAGUGAUGCGGUGGUCAAGGGACCACCGACAGAGUUAUAUGGCCAUCAUAGAGAGAGGAGUUGGAGAAAUGAAUAAAGGUAAGAUUGGGGCUUGCAUAUUUGAACCAUUAAACUAUUUUAAGUUCACAUUAUAUUCUAUUUUUACAAUAACACAAUAAAGCCACAUUAGUUAUCUGACUCCAAAUAAUAUGUCACAUGACAUUGACGGAGAGCUUCUCCCAAAUUAGCAGGUUCGUGAGGGACAUUGUAAUAAAUAGAAAAAUGAAAGAUUUGACAUUAGAGCAAUUCAAGAUAGAGGAUAUUUGUAAAUUUAGAUAAAAUAUAAAGUAUUAUUUAUCUUUUAUCUUAAAAUUUAUGGUCAAUUAAGAAAUAAGAGGAUCAGCAUCAUCCUGAAGUUGCCAUCGAGGAAUUCCCGUUCAAGAACCACAAAGCUAUAUCCAACGCACAAGGCAUGUCCUGGUUUCCUGUCUCACCGGAGGAAUACGACAAGUCUCCAUCCCAAACAUAUCUCUAGAAGGAGCAUUCACAUCAAGGUGCCGGAUAUGAAUCAAACUCUUCUUUGGUCAGGCGUGUCAAUAAACCAUAGCGCUUAAACAUAUAUUUCAGUUGCAUUCUGUUUGUUGCUCAUACGAUACCCGGAGGCAUACCCCGACAAGCGAUCCUUUCCUCCUACCUCGCGCCUUCCUCGCACGUGCCAACUGACAUAACGAAUCGGUGGAUUCCAGGAUUAUUCCAAUCUUGUCCCACCCGCAAUCCUCGAAUUAACCCGGCAAUUCAGAGCUCUUUUCCCGAAUAAUACAAAAAAAAACUUUUUUACCAAAAUAUAUUCAAACCAAACUUAUUUACCAAAAUGAUGUAAGAGGUAAAAACGCCAUUUUGAAUGG
rnacentral:lncRNA from 1 species